CUGAUUGGUUGGGAAAGGAGGAAAAAGUUUGACUUUUAAUUAGGUGAAAAAACGUGGGACUUUUCAGUCGGUUUUCAUCAGAUAUGUGCCAAUA